rnacentral:rRNA from 1 species
CUUCGGCUAAUACCGCAUAAGCCGGCUGUCUUGAGAGAGAUUGGCCGGGAAAGAUUUAUCGCGACAGGAGGGGCCCGCGUCGGAUUAGGUAGUUGGCGGGGUAACGGCCCACCAAGCCGAUGAUCCGUAGCUGGUCUGAGAGGAUGAUCAGCCACACUGGGACUGAGACACGGCCCAGACUCCUACGGGAGGCAGCAGUGGGGAAUAUUGGACAAUGGGCGCAAGCCUGAUCCAGCAAUGCCGCGUGAGUGAUGAAGGCCUUAGGGUUGUAAAGCUCUUUCGCCCGCGACGAUGAUGACGGUAGCGGGAGAAGAAGCCCCGGCUAACUUCGUGCCAGCAGCCGCGGUAAUACGAAGGGGGCGAGCGUUGUUCGGAAUCACUGGGCGUAAAGGGCGCGUAGGCGGCCCCUCUUGUCGCGUGUGAAAGCCCCGGGCUCAACCUGGGAACGGCGCGCGAGACGGGGG